rnacentral:lncRNA from 1 species
CUGGGGAGGUCCUUUGUGUGACAGAAAUUAGUGUGUCCUCUGAGUAAGGAGUUCAGUAAGUAUUGGCUCAUUGGCUAUUAUGAUCAGAGGAGAACUUUCUGGGAGAUGAGAAGGGCAAUGUCACCCCCAGGACUGCAAUCUUCUUAAACACCAGGGAGGGAGAUUCUUCUUAUUUUGGAUUGGCAUUUAGCAGACUUCUAGAAUUAGCCAAGAAGCAGCACACUGAGCCAUGUUUCUUUCAUCUGGUCACUGCAGAGAGCGCAAACGUUUACACGGACAAGUUCAAGGUCAUGUAUCAUUCCAUGGUCUAGCCAAAUGCCUUCUUCCAUCAUACUUGGUUUGGAGUUUUACCUGGAGUUUUAUGUAUCUGAAAAUAUUCAGAAUGAACCCUCAGUUAUAAAAGAAAAAGACUGUGCUCUAAGCUUAUAUGUGAAUAUGCUCCAUAGAAAAGAUGAAAACAUCACAUGAACAGAAGCUGAGAGCAUAAAUAAAAGAGGAAGGUUUGGAUAGGUAAUAUGUGUGUUCCCAUGGGAACAUACAGCUGCUGCCAACAAAGACCAUGGGAAAAGGCUACAGACUCUUCCUAUGAUUCAGGCUGAAAACAAAUUUGUAAAGAAGUCAAAAUACACAUGAAUCAUCUCCUCUUUCAUCCACCACAAUCAUUACUAUCAAGUCAAAAUCUGUCCUGGAGUCACAAAUAAAACCAGCCUGUUGUGACAACGCCAGACAUUUGCACUAAAUAAUCUCCCCACCAAGAAAUUCCAAUAGCUUCAAACACCCACCCCAUAACAUUUUAAUGCCUUCGCUUGUUAAGACCCUCAUAACCAGGCACUACAAUCGGUGUCCCACUUAAUUUGUGACCACUUCCCUGCUUUGGUCAGGAUGGUCUUCUCACCACCCCCUACAUACCACCCCAUAUACCACGUUCAUUCAUAACUCUAAACUUUACUCACACUCUGCCUUCCAGUGCAUUUUCCUUUUUCCUUAUCUAUUCAAACCAAUUUAUUCUUCAAGUCAAGUUCCAAUAUCCUCUGAUCUAUGUGGUUUGUCAUGGAUGUAAAUUAUUAUGGUUUUCUCUUUACUUUGAAUUUUCUAUACUGUCACUUGAUGGCUAGAAUCCAAGCUAAUGUUUUUUAGAAAUUAACUCAUCAUGUAUAAACACUCAUUGGGUUCACACACUGUGCUAAGAGCAUAAUGGAGAUUUCUUGCUGAUCUUGCAGCUAUUUUCUCUACUGGGUUUACCAUUUAAAAUCAUUAUUUCCUUCCCAAAGAUGACCAAGGUAACUAAGGACUCUUUGCUCCUUUUCUAUCCUAUGCAAGGGAAGUUCCCCCUCCCCCCACUCCUUGGGCUAAGAAAGAUUAAUAGACACUAAACUGGUGAGAGCUGUUAAAAUCUUCAACUUUAACCCCUUCCAAAUGGAGUAAAUUUCAGUUAAAGUACAAAUCAGUCACUAAUUAAGGAAAGCCUGUGCAGAUAAGGAAUAUUCAUUUUGGACCCUUAGACUACUUUUGGGAUAUUCAGAUUAUGGAAUCACUAGCUGAUUCUCACCCCAGGAUUCAGAAUGAGAGUAAUCUAGGGGGAAUCUGAACCUUGCAGAAAAAAAAAAAAAUAAUAGGACAAGGCUAGAUUCAGGUCCCAAGUCUGGCAAUCCCACUUUAACCAUGAACAGAUAAUGGAAUCUUUGUAACAAGAACAUCUACUUAAUAUCUGAAACCCCCAAAUGCCUCUAUUUCUAGGGCAAUAUCAUCUCUGUAUUAAGAAACUUUCUAGAUGCCAAGAAAUUUAGCCUGAUAGUUUAAAAAGUCACUCUAGUUCACCUGUGAGCAAUAAGACGAAAACAGAAACCAAGUUCUCCUCCCUUUAACUGAACAAACUGCAGUUUACCUUUGAAUGAGUUUUCUGUAGUUUACCUGCUGUGGUAGAUGACUGUCAAAAACAUGUACACCUUUCUCCUUUUCAUCUCCAUGAGGGGAAUAGCUUUCUCCCCACCCUUGACCAUGGGCUCAGCCAUGUGACUUGCUUUGGCAGGCGUGAUAUAAACAGGGGCUUGAGAUGUGCUUGAGUGUUGGGCUUGCCUCUUGCACCUCUGUCAUCUCCAUGGGAACAGUAUGUCUUGACUAGUCAGUCACCCACCCAAAGAGGGUGAAGAGCUGCCCAGCUGAUCUGAGGCUUUGUGAGGUUAAAUGGUUGUUAUUUUAAGGUACCAGAGUUUUGGGGUGGUUUAUUACAUAGAAUUUGGGGGACCAUAGCUAACUGAUAUACAUACUAGUAGCUCCACAAAUGACCAGAUUUU